GCGGCAGGCUGAGCAGUCGCGGAGGUGCAGCACGGGCCUUCGAGGAAAGUCCGGACAUCGCAGGGCAGGGUGGUCGCUAACGGCGACCCGGGGAAACCCGCGGGAAAGUGCCACAGAGACAUACCGCCUACGUCAGCCGCUCGUCCGCGAGCGACAGGCCGGCAAGGGUGAAAAGGUGCGGUAAGAGCGCACCGGCGUCGCGGUGACGCGGCGCGUCAAGGCAAACCCCACCCGAUGCAAGGUCAAGCCGGACCGUUCGCAGGUUGCCCGCCAAGGUCCAGGUCGGCCGCACAGAUGGAUGAUUGCUCCCGACAGAAUCCGGCUUACAGGCCUGCUAAGGAA
rnacentral:RNase_P_RNA from 1 species